rnacentral:rRNA from 4 species
UUGUAGGUGAACCUGCGGAAGGAUCAUU